UAAAGAGCUCGUAGGCGGUCCGUCACGUCUGCUGUGAAAACUCGGGGCUCAACCCCGAGCCUGCAGUGGAUACGGGCGGACUAGAGUUCGGUAGGGGAGACUGGAAUUCCUGGUGUAGCGGUGAAAUGCGCAGAUAUCAGGAGGAACACCGGUGGCGAAGGCGGGUCUCUGGACCGAUACUGACGCUGAGGAGCGAAAGCGUGGGGAGCGAACAGGAUUAGAUACCCUGGUAGUCCACGCCGUAAACGUUGGGCGCUAGGUGUGGGGGACUUUCCACGUCCUCCGUGCCGCAGCUAACGCAUUAAGCGCCCCGCCUGGGGAGUACGGCCGCAAGGCUAAAACUCAAAGGAAUUGACGGGGGCCCGCACAAGCGGCGGAGCAUGUGGCUUAAUUCGACGCAACGCGAAGAACCUUACCAAGGCUUGACAUAUAGGGAAAACUGGCAGAGAUGUCAGGUCCGCAAGGGCCCUAUACAGGUGGUGCAUGGUUGUCGUCAGCUCGUGUCGUGAGAUGUUGGGUUAAGUCCCGCAACGAGCGCAACCCUCGUUCCAUGUUGCCAGCGGAUAAUGCCGGGGACUCAUGGGAGACUGCCGGGGUCAACUCGGAGGAAGGUGGGGAUGACGUCAAAUCAUCAUGCCCCUUACGUCUUGGGCUGCACACAUGCUACAAUGGCCGGUACAAAGGGCUGCUAAACCGCAAGGUGGAGCGAAUCCCAAAAAGCCGGUCUCAGUUCGGAUCGGGGUCUGCAACUCGACCCCGUGAAGUCGGAGUCGCUAGUAAU
rnacentral:rRNA from 1 species